rnacentral:rRNA from 1 species
AGUCGAACGAUGAAGCCCAGCUUGCUGGGUGGAUUAGUGGCGAACGGGUGAGUAACACGUGGGUGAUCUGCCCUGCACUCUGGGAUAAGCCUGGGAAACUGGGUCUAAUACCGGAUAUGACCUCGGGAUGCAUGUUCUGGGGUGGAAAGUUUUUCGGUGCAGGAUGAGCCCGCGGCCUAUCAGCUUGUUGGUGGGGUAAUGGCCUACCAAGGCGACGACGGGUAGCCGGCCUGAGAGGGCGACCGGCCACACUGGGACUGAGACACGGCCCAGACUCCUACGGGAGGCAGCAGUGGGGAAUAUUGCACAAUGGGCGCAAGCCUGAUGCAGCGACGCCGCGUGAGGGAUGACGGCCUUCGGGUUGUAAACCUCUUUCACCCAUGACGAAGCGCAAGUGACGGUAGUGGGAGAAGAAGCACCGGCCAACUACGUGCCAGCAGCCGCGGUAAUACGUAGGGUGCGAGCGUUGUCCGGAAUUACUGGGCGUAAAGAGCUCGUAGGCGGUUUGUCGCGUCGUCUGUGAAAUCCCGCAGCUCACUGCGGGCUUGCAGGCGAUACGGGCAGACUCGAGUACUGCAGGGGAGACUGGAAUUCCUGGUGUAGCGGUGAAAUGCGCAGAUAUCAGGAGGAACACCGGUGGCGAAGGCGGGUCUCUGGGCAGUAACUGACGCUGAGGAGCGAAAGCGUGGGUAGCGAACAGGAUUAGAUACCCUGGUAGUCCACGCCGUAAACGGUGGGCGCUAGGUGUGGGUUUCCUUCCACGGGAUCCGUGCCGUAGCCAACGCAUUAAGCGCCCCGCCUGGGGAGUACGG